AUUGAACGCUGGCGGAAUGCUUUACACAUGCAAGUCGAGCGGCAGCGCGGGGGCAACCCUGGCGGCGAGCGGCGAACGGGUGAGUAACAUAUCGGAACGUACCCCGUCGUGGGGGAUAACACAGCGAAAGCUGUGCUAAUACCGCAUACGACCUGAGGGUGAAAGCGGGGGAUCGCAAGACCUCGCGCGAUGGGAGCGGCCGAUAUCGGAUUAGCUUGUUGGUGAGGUAAAGGCUCACCAAGGCGACGAUCCGUAGCUGGUCUGAGAGGACGACCAGCCACACUGGAACUGAGACACGGUCCAGACUCCUACGGGAGGCAGCAGUGGGGAAUUUUGGACAAUGGGGGGCAACCCUGAUCCAGCCAUUCCGCGUGAGUGAAGAAGGCCUCGGUUGUAAAGGACUCUUUCUAGCAGGAACGAAACGGUAGG
rnacentral:rRNA from 1 species